rnacentral:rRNA from 1 species
AUUGAACGCUGGCGGCAGGCCUAACACAUGCAAGUCGAACGGUAACAGGAAGAAGCUUGCUUCUUUGCUGACGAGUGGCGGACGGGUGAGUAAUGUCUGGGAAACUGCCUGAUGGAGGGGGAUAACUACUGGAAACGGUAGCUAAUACCGCAUAGCGUCGCAAGACCAAAGAGGGGGACCUUCGGGCCUCUUGCCAUCGGAUGUGCCCAGAUGGGAUUAGCUAGUAGGUGGGGUAACGGCUCACCUAGGCGACGAUCCCUAGCUGGUCUGAGAGGAUGACCAGCCACACUGGAACUGAGACACGGUCCAGACUCCUACGGGAGGCAGCAGUGGGGAAUAUUGCACAAUGGGCGCAAGCCUGAUGCAGCCAUGCCGCGUGUAUGAAGAAGGCCUUCGGGUUGUAAAGUACUUUCAGCGGGGAGGAAGGGAGUAAAGUUAAUACCUUUACUCAUUGACGUUACCCGCAGAAGAAGCACCGGCUAACUCCGUG